ensembl:snRNA U1 U1 spliceosomal RNA
GUACUAACCUGACAGGAGAGACACCAUGAUCAUGAAGGUGGUUUCCCCAGGGUAAGGCUUGUCCUUUGCACUGCAGGUGUGCUGACUCCUGCGAUUUCCCCAAAUAUGGGACACUCAACUGUAUAAUUUUUGAUAGUGGGGGACUAAGUUCACGCUUGCCCCUG